rnacentral:rRNA from 1 species
GAUGAACGCUGGCGGCGUGCCUAAUACAUGCAAGUCGAGCGAAUGGAUUAAGAGCCUGCUCUUAUGAAGUUAGCGGCGGACGGGUGAGUAACACGUGGGUAACCUGCCCAUAAGACUGGGAUAACUCCGGGAAACCGGGGCUAAUACCGGAUAACAUUUUGAACCGCAUGGUUCGAAAUUGAAAGGCGGCUUCGGCUGUCACUUAUGGAUGGACCCGCGUCGCAUUAGCUAGUGGGUGAGGUAACGGCUCACCAAGGCAACGAUGCGUAGCCGACCGGAGAGGGUGAGCGGCCACACUGGGACUGGGACACGGCCCAGACUCCUACGGGAGGCAGCAGUAGGGAAUCUUCCGCAAUGGACGAAAGUCUGACGGAGCAACGCCGCGUGAGUGAUGAAGGCUUUCGGGUCGUAAAACUCUGUUGUUAGGGAAGAACAAGUGCUAGUUGAAUAAGCUGGCACCUUGACGGUACCUAACCAGAAAGCCACGGCUAACUACGUGCCAGCCGCCGCGGUAA